AGUGAACGCUGGCGGUAGGCCUAACACAUGCAAGUCGAACGGCAGCACAGUAAGAGCUUGCUCUUACGGGUGGCGAGUGGCGGACGGGUGAGGAAUACAUCGGAAUCUACUUUUUCGUGGGGGAUAACGUAGGGAAACUUACGCUAAUACCGCAUACGACCUACGGGUGAAAGCAGGGGAUCUUCGGACCUUGCGCGACUGAAUGAGCCGAUGUCGGAUUAGCUAGUUGGCGGGGUAAAGGCCCACCAAGGCGACGAUCCGUAGCUGGUCUGAGAGGAUGAUCGGCCACACUGGAACUGAGACACGGUCCAGACUCCUACGGGAGGCAGCAGUGGGGAAUAUUGGGCAAUGGGCGCAAGCCUGAUCCAGCCAUACCGCGUGGGUGAAGAAGGCCUUCGGGUUGUAAAGCCCUUUUGUUGGGAAAGAAAAGCAGCAGGUUAAUACCCCGCUGUUCUGACGGUACCCAAAGAAUAAGCACCGGCUAACUUCGUG
rnacentral:rRNA from 1 species